UACAGAGGGUGCGAGCGUUAAUCGGAAUUACUGGGCGUAAAGCGCACGUAGGCGGCUUGGUAUGUCGGGUGUGAAAUCCCCCGGGCUCAACCUGGGAACUGCAUCCGAAACUGCCUUGCUCGAGUAUGGGAGAGGGAAGUGGAAUUUCCGGUGUAGCGGUGAAAUGCGUAGAUAUCGGAAGGAACAUCAGUGGCGAAGGCGACUUCUGGACCAAUACUGACGCUCAGUGCGAAAGCGUGGGGACAAC
rnacentral:rRNA from 1 species